rnacentral:lncRNA from 1 species
UUCUAAAAGAGAAUGUUUAUAUUCUGUUCAUGUGUAAGGAUACACUUCAAAAAUCCUUUGAGGCUUCGGACUAUCUUUAUCUGGAUGUGGAAAGACCAUGUUUCUGUACUCAGUCAUCCACAGGAAAGAGGCUAAGGGAAAGGAAACAGACCAGGGAAGGGAAGUUACUUGUCCAAGGUCACAUAACGAGAGAGCGGGAAGAAACAGAAUUCAAACGCAAGCUUCUAUGCCUCCAAGCACACUUCCAAUUGCAACCCACUCCUGUGAAAUCACAAAUUCCUGAAGUAUUGAAAUAAGUAUAAGUUAGUGGAAAGGGAUGAGAUCGAAUCAAACUCAUUCAAAAAUGGAGGAAAUUAAUUUGUUAAAAGGAAAAAAACCUCAAUGAUUAGCCACCCUGUAAUUUCCAGUGAUUUCCUUUCAAGGAAACUGUGACCACUGUCGUUAUAUACAAAAUAAAAAUAAAUAAAAGAGAAGAAAGUUUUGUGUU